rnacentral:misc_RNA from 1 species
UAAUAAGUGUUUUAUGGCACUUUUUUAAAUCCAUAUCCACCUUGUGUGCAAUGUCAGUCGAUCUUCUUCAUGGAGAUCGACCAAACAUCAACCUUUAUCUUUUUAACUCUUUGUCUGAAAAAUAUUAUUUAUGAAUAAAAAACAAUUCAAAAUA